GCUUAACGCGAAGAACCUUACCUACCUUUGAAUCCACGGAACCUAGCAGAGAUGUUGGGGUGCCUUCGGGAACCGUGAGACAGGUGCUGCAUGGCUGUCGUCAGCUCAUGUCGUGAGAUGUUGGGUUAAGUCCCGUAACGAGCGCAACCCUUGUCCUUAGUUGCCAUCAGGUUAUGCUGGGCACUUUAAGGAGACUGCCGGUGAUAAACCGGAGGAAGGUGGGGAUGACGUCAAGUCCUCAUGGCCCUUACAGGUAGGGCUACACACGUGCCACAAUGGGCAGUACAGAGGGAAGCCAACCCGCGAGGGGGAGCGAAUCUCAUAAAGCUGUUCGUAGUCCGGAUUGGAGUCUGCAACUCGACUCCAUGAAGUUGGAAUCGCUAGUAAUCGCGGAUCAGAAUGCCGCGGUGAAUACGUUCCCGGGUCUUGUACACACCG
rnacentral:rRNA from 1 species